UACAGAGGUCUCAAGCGUUGUUCGGAUUCAUUGGGCGUAAAGGGUGCGUAGGCGGCGCGGUAAGUCGGGUGUGAAAUCUCGGAGCUUAACUUCGAAACUGCAUUCGAUACUGCCGUGCUUGAGGACUGGAGAGGAGACUGGAAUUUACGGUGUAGCGGUGAAAUGCGUAGAUAUCGUAAGGAAGACCAGUGGCGAAGGCGGGUCUCUGGACAGUUCCUGACGCUGAGGCACGAAGGUCAGGGGGAGCAAAACGGGG
rnacentral:rRNA from 1 species